rnacentral:rRNA from 1 species
CCUGAUCCAGCAAUCCCGCGUGGGUGAAGACGCCUUGCGGUUUGUAAACCCUUUUGGUUGGGGAAGAACCGCCGGGCGGCGAACCAGCGGCCCUGUUUUGACAUUAACCCCACGAAAACAAGCACCGGGCUAACUCCGUGCCAGCACCCGCGGUUAAUACGGAGGGUGCGAGCGUUAAUCGGAAUUACUGGGCGUAAAAGCGUGCGUAGCGGAUGGUCAGUCAGCCGUGAAAGCCCCGGGCUCAAACCUGGGAACGGCGGUUGAGACGCCCCGUCUUGAAUGGGUAGAGACUGUGAACUCCCGGUGUAGCGGUGAAAUGCGUAGAGAUCGGGAAGAACACCGAUGGCGAAGGCAGCGGUCUGGGGCCACACUGACGCUGAGGCACGAAAGCGUGGGGAGCAAACAGGAUUAGAUACCCUGGUAGUCCACGCGGUAAACGAUGAGCACUAGACGCCGGGCGGGUGACCGCCCGGUGUCGCAGCUAACGCGCUAAGUGCUCCGCCUGGGGAGUACGGCCGCAAGGUUGUUACUCAAAGGAAUUGACGGGGGCCCGCACAAGCGGUGGAGCAUGUGGUUUUUUUUGAUGCCAUCGAGAAAAACCUUAACCAGCCUUGACAUCCGGGGUCCUCCUUUUUCAGUAGCUGCCGCAAGGAGCCCCGAGACAGGUGUAAAGAGG